UAGGGAAUCUUCGGCAAUGGACGAAAGUCUGACCGUGCAACGCCGCGUGAGUGAAGAAGGUUUUCGGAUCGUAAAACUCUGUUGGUAGAGAAGAACGUUGGUGAGAGUGGAAAGCUCAUCAAGUGACGGUAACUACCCAGAAAGGGACGGCUAACUACGUGCCAC
rnacentral:rRNA from 1 species